GCGCAUUGUUCUACAGAGGAUGCCUCAGUAACGGCGAGUGAAGCGGCAACAGCUCAAAUUUGAAAUCUGGCCUCUCUUGAUGUUCGAGUUGUAAUUUGUAGAGGAUGUUUCGGGUACCGCACCGGUUUAAAUUUCUUGGAACAGAAUGUCAGAGAGGGUGAGAAUCCCGUCUUGGAUCGGUGUAGGGCCUAUGUGAAACUCCUUCGACGAGUCGAGUUGUUUGGGAACUGCAGCUCAAAAUUGGGUGGUAAACUUUCAUCUAAAGCUAAAUAUUGGCCAGAGACCGAUAGCGCACAAGGUAGAGUGAUCGAAAGAUGAAAAGCACUUUGAAAAGAGAGUUAAACAGUCUGUGAAAUUGUUUUGGAAAGGGAAGCGCUUGCUACCCAGACUUGAGCGCGGUUAGGUUCCCCCUUCCUUCUGGUUGGGUUUGAGAGUUAACUCCGUCCUGUCCAGGCCAAAUCAUCGGUGUAUCUGGGGGUUGGUUAAAGGCUGCUAGUGGGGAAUGUACCGUACCCUUCGGGACGUAGACUUAUAGCACCCGAGUGUCAUGCAACCUCCCGGGACCGAGGAACGCGCUUCGGCUCGGAUGUUGGCGUUAUGGUUGUUAGCGGCUCGUCUUGAAACACGGACCAAGGAGUCUAACAUUUGUGCGAGUGUGUCGGUGUCAUACCCGGAACGCGAAAUGAAAGUGAUCGGAGGCAGGAAGCUUCGGCUGCACUAUCGACCGAUCCUGAUGUCUUCGGAUAGGAUUUGAGUAAGAGCAUCAAUGUUUGUGACCCGAAAGAUGGUGUAACUAUGCCAUGAAUAGGGGCCGAAAGCCAGAGGGAGAACUCUUGGUGUAGGCUCGCAGCAGGUUCUGACGAUGCAAAUCGAUAGUCUCAUAUGGGUAUAGGACGCGAAAGACUAAUCGCAACCAUUGGGAUCGUAACCACAACAGUACUUAUCGACGUCAGUCUACGUAGGCUGGGUACGUGCUGAACUUAAAAAGUGGUCCGCAAGGUUCCUCAUUCUGGGGGCCGACACUGUCAAAUUGCGGGGACGUCCUAAAGCUUGGACUACCAAACAAUGCGAUGAAGUUCCUUUGUGGUCGGGGUUAUGACCUAGCAUAUGGUAAAAUCGUUUGAGAUGUGACAAUGGAUAAUCUGCAGCCAAGUUCUAAGACCCUGUAUGGGCUAUGAAUGCAGUUCACAGACUAAAUGGCAGCGACGCCAUUGUUGAGAGGCUUAAGAUAUAGUCGGUCCCCCGAAGAGACUCGGGUGUACACGCUAAAUCUACCGCGAAGGAUGGCCCUCAUGGGUUCGCGGUAGACCUGUACGGUCGAUCACACAGGCCUGAACAAUAAGAUAGGUGUGCGGAGCUAGAUAGCAAGCAGGGC
rnacentral:rRNA from 1 species